AGGCUUGUUCGGGUUGCGGUUCGUUCCUUUGGCGGCGCUCCUCCCCCGUGGAGGCGCUGUCCUAGGGUCGGAUGCACCUCGUCAUGCGAUGGGACGACGCAUGAGUGGCUUUUAGGAUAUGAUCCCAGAGCAGGCUCCAUGUUCCCGGCAUCGAACUGCUUUGGUCUGUCCCUUUCAUUUGUUGGAUCGCCCCGUCCCUUCUAGGGUCGGUUGCGUCCGCUCGUUGGGUCUCUGUGCUCGAUAUCGUGAUGCGGUAUUCGGAUGGCCUUUGGUCCCCGUCUAGGUUCCCCUCGAUUCUCCUUCGCCUCGUUUGCGGUGGUGAAUACCGUGCGGGCGUCUACGUUUUCCAUCCGAGCCGUUGUCCCCGUCUUGGCGCUUCUUCUCGUGAUGGUGCGUGGAUGCUUCCGCCACGCCCUUGGGUACGGAUGAUUCGUUGGUAUUCUCGYWGAGGUCUCUCCCGUCCGGAGCGAGAUCCCGAUGUGUCGAAGCAUCAACGCUUCCGCCCGCGUGACCCUCGUGCCCGCGUAGGCKCGUCGUGGGACUUCUCCGUCCCGCGUUCGGCUUGCGUGGGGCAUUGAUGUCUACGGAGGAAUGCUACCUGGUUGAUCCUGCCAGUA
rnacentral:misc_RNA from 1 species